CUCCUUGGAAAAGAAGAUGAAGAACGCUUCUAAGAAGCUUUCUUGAUGGAGGGGAGCGGCAGACGGGUGAGUAACGCGUGGGAAUCUACCUUUUGCUACGGAAUAACGCAGGGAAACUUGUGCUAAUACCGUAUGUGUCCUUCGGGAGAAAGAUUUAUCGGCAAGAGAUGAGCCCGCGUUGGAUUAGCUAGUUGGUGGGGUAAAGGCCUACCAAGGCGACGAUCCAUAGCUGGUCUGAGAGGAUGAUCAGCCACAUUGGGACUGAGACACGGCCCAAACUCCUACGGGAGGCAGCAGUGGGGAAUAUUGGACAAUGGGCGCAAGCCUGAUCCAGCCAUGCCGCGUGAGUGAUGAAGGCCCUAGGGUUGUAAAGCUCUUUCACCGGAGAAGAUAAUGACGGUAUCCGGAGAAGAAGCCCCGGCUAACUUCGUGCCAGCAGCCGCGGUAAUACGAAGGGGGCUAGCGUUGUUCGGAAUUACUGGGCGUAAAGCGCACGUAGGCGGAUCGAUCAGUCAGGGGUGAAAUCCCAGGGCUCAACCCUGGAACUGCCUUUGAUACUGUCGAUCUGGAGUAUGGAAAGAGG
rnacentral:rRNA from 1 species